GCCCGCGUUGUCUAAUGGCUAUGACGUCAGACUUCUACGAAUUGGUUCGUGAUCUGGAGGUUGCGGGUUCGAGUCCCGCCGUGGGUU
rnacentral:tRNA from 1 species